CCUACGGGUGGCAGCAGUGGGGAAUAUUGCACAAUGGGCGAAACCCUGAUGCAGCGACGCCGCGUGAGUGAAGAAGUAUCUCGGUACGGAAAGCUCUAUCUGCAGGGAAGAAAAUGACGGUACCUGACUAAGAAUCCCCGGCUAACUACGUGCCAGCAGCCGUGGUAAUACGUAGGGGGCAGGCGUUAUCCGGAUUUACUGGGCGUUAAGGGAGCGUAGACGGGUGCACAAGUCUGGAGUGAAAGCCCGGGGCUUAACCCCGGAACUGCUUUUGAAACUGGGCGGCUUGAGUGCAGGAGAGGUAAGCGGAAUGCGUGGUGUAGCGGUGAAAUGCGUAGAUAUCACGAAGAACACCGAUGGCGAAGGCAGCUUACUGGACUGUAACUGACGUUGAGGCUCGAAAGCGUGGGUAGCAAACAGGAUUAGAUACCCUGGUAGUC
rnacentral:rRNA from 1 species